AGGGCGAUCGGUUAAUGGCUAAACCAAUGGUCUCCAAAACCAUGACUGUAGGUUCGAAUCCUACUCGCCCUG
rnacentral:tRNA from 1 species